rnacentral:rRNA from 1 species
UUCCGGUUGAUCCUGCCGGAGGCUACCGCUAUUGGAGUUCGAUUAAGCCAUGCGAGUCGCGAGAAAUUAGAUUCUCGGCGUACCGCUCAGUAACACGUGGGUAACCUGCCCUAUGCUGGAUAAUAACCUCGGGAAACUGAGAAUAAUGAUCCAUAGUUCACUACGCCUGGAACGGUGAGUGGAUGAAAGCUCCGGCGGCAUAGGAUGGGCCUGCGGCGUAUCAGGUUGUAGGGGGUGUAACGUACCCUCUAGCCCUCUACGCGUACGGGUGUUGGGAGACAUAGCCCGGAGAUGGAUUCUGAGACACGAAUCCAGACCCUACGGGGUGCAGCAGGCGCGAAAACUUGGCAAUGCGAGAAAUCGUGACCAGGGAACUCCAAGUGCAUCGGGUAAGACCGGUGCUUUUCUUGACUCUAAAUAGGUCUUGGAAUAAGGGGUGGGUAAGGACGGUGCCAGCCGCCGCGGUAAUACCGGCGCCUCAAGUGGUAGUCGCUUUUAUUGGGCCUAAAACGUCCGUAGCCGGUCUGAUACAUUCGUGGGUAAAUCAACCAGCUCAACUGGUUGAAUUCUGCGAGGACGGUCAGACUUGGGACCGGGAGAGGUGUGGGGUACGCUCAGGGUAGGGGUAAAAUCCUGUCAUCCUGAGCGGACCACCUGUUGCGAAGGCGCCACACUAGAACGGAUCCGACGGUCAGGGACGAAGCUAGGGCACGA